rnacentral:misc_RNA from 1 species
UGGUUCUGGCAUCGAUGAAGAACGCAGCGAAAUGCGAUAAGUAAUGUGAAUUGCAGAUUUACGUGAAUCAUCGAAUCUUUGAACGCACAUUGCGCCCUCCGGCAUUCCGGGGGGCACGCCUGUCCGAGCGUCGACGCACAUCGAGCAAUCGGUCUUGGUCCGCGGGGGCGGUCCGAAAAGCGUGGCGCGGCCGCGGGCAGGGGCGCAGUGAAAACGUCGCCCCCGGCCUCAGCGGUCGCCGCCCGGGCAAUGCCCGCGACACUUUUAAUCUUCGACCUCGGAUCAGGCGGGGCUACCCGCCGA